rnacentral:lncRNA from 1 species
GCAAGCUUGGAAUUAGCCUUAAAGCAAAGCAAAGCCUCAUUAAUAUGACCAAGGCUCCUCUGCAGACCGAAUGUAUGUAACCGCAAGAGGGAAAUGUGUUACUUAAUUAACAUGUGUGUUCAUAUUUCCUCAAUAUAAAUUCUAACACGCUGGCUUAGGCACAGCUCUGGCUGUGUCCCGUCCAACAACCCAGUAGCAUCUAGGGCUUCAGGGAGCCUCGCACAUGUAUCCCACUCUGGGCAGACCAGCUGCCUCCAUGGAUGCUGAAGUGUUCGAUAAGUAAGUAACUAUAGUACAAAUAGCCCCUGGUGAAAAUUCAGCCUGGGUUUAUUUGCUAACGUACCAUAAAUGGGACCUGAUACAUACUAGGUACUCAAUAAGUCAAUAACAAGCUGGUGAUUGAAUUGACAACAUCAUGUCAAUGACUACAUUUUUUUAAUGUGACAGGUCUGAAAUAACAAUGUCUGGGCAUCUGUUUCUGUACAACUCUCUCAGUUCUGGGUCAAGGGAGAGCUGGCUCCCCUUCCUACUGCCCCCCUGGGCAGCCUCAGCCUUCUUUGGUGGCUGAUGGAUCCAACAGAGCGGUAAUCAGAGCCCAGGGUGGCUCACGACAGCCCUGAAGAAUGAGCUGCCUUUCCAGUUCCUUCCAUGUAGCAACAGUGGUGGGUAAGACAGGGAAACAUGGAUUCACAGACACUUGGUUUACUAACAGUAGGUAAACAAAGGCAGGUGCCACGAUUGGGUGCUCUUGAGAUCCUACAGUUCAGUCCUACCCUACAAUGUCCUCCAGAAACCUCCUUUAGAAAGCUUCUCCACACAGCCCCUCUCGCAACACUGCACAGUUGGUUCUGCAGUGAUGCUUGUUUGGAAGAUGUGAAUUUGUUCCAGUGUAACUGAUAUAUUAGGGAACAAUCUGAGCAUAACAUUUUGCAUUUGCUUAUACAUGAUUUCAUCUGCGAGAAACAGUAGGUAAACAAAGAAAGCUGUAACCAGCUGGGCUGAGACAUUGAGCAAUAUGCAAAAUACAAGCAUCUGUGCACAUGGGCGCACACAUACACAUGCAAACAUCUACCAGCAACCUCAUGCUGGGAACUGCUCAGGGCCAACCUGCCUCCCAUUCUAUUCAAACUCUUCCCUCUGCUCGCUGAGAUAAACGCAUAUCUGAUUACCUCCUUUGGAAAGGCUAAUCAGAAACUCAAGAGAAUGCAACCCUUUGUCUCUCACCUACCAGUGACCUGGAAGCCCCCUCCCUGCUUGAGUUGUCCUGCCUUUCCAGAAGGAAUCAAUGUACAUCUUACCUAUAUUCAUUAAUGUCCCAUGUCUCCCUAAAAUAAGUGAAAUCCAGGCUGUGCCCCGACUACCUUGGGCACAUGUCAUGAAGACCUCCUGAGGCAGUGUCAUGGGCGUGUGUCCUCAACCUUGACAAAAUAAACUCUCUAAAUUAACUGAGACCUGUCUCAGAUUUUCAGCGUUCACAAUACAAAGCAUUAGAGCAAGACAUAUAGUAAAAUUCGAGGCUUUAUUCUCUACUCCAGGGCUUCUUAUCUUAAACAUACACAUAAAUCACCUAGAGCUCUUCUUAAAAAUGCAGAUUCAGGCCAGGCAUGGAGGCUCAUGUCUGUAAUCCCAGCACUUUGGGAGGCCCAGGCAGGUGGAUCACUUGAGGCCAGGGGUUCGAGAUCAGCCCGGCCAACAUGGUGAAACCCCAUCUCUACUAGAAAUACAAAAAUUAGCCAGGCGGGGUAGCACAUGUUUGUCUUCUUUGACCUCCCUGAACAGUAGUUUAUUAUGGCAUGCAUAGUCCCAUGGCAAUGCCACAUUCCCAAAUAAAUAUUUUCUUUUAGAAAGCCUCUCUCUGUUCUUUUGGUGGAUGCUAUUUUCAUUACCUCCAUUUUAAAAGCUAAGAAAACCAAGGCUCAAAGGGCUUAUUGACUUUUUCAAUAUCAAGUGUAAGAGGUGUCAUUUGAAUCCAUAUUGAUCUGACAACUUCAGGGUCUUGGCCUCUUGGCUCUACAUCUCCACACCCUCCCCCUAGAUUACAGACCUUCUAGUUACCGAUGUCUCCUCAAUGUUCCUGCUCGAGUCAACCACAACUUUGUGCCUUUGGGGUCAGGAUAUGACUGCUCUGGGGCUCCAGGCUCGUGUGUCACCAAAGAUCUGGAGAAAUUCAUGGUAUCUCUGUGGUUCUUAUGCUGACCUUAUUAUCUGGGAGUCACACCUCCUAGUGAGUGUGGGAAAAAUGUGUAACUCUUGUGGGAGGGAGAAUAAUGCCCUCCAAAAAGAUACCCAAUGCUUUAUUUCCAGAAUCUGUGAACAUGUUACCUUAUGUGGCAAAACAGCCUUUGCAGAUUAAAGAUAUACAGCUUGAGAGAAGGAGAUUAUCUUGGAUUAUCCAAGUGAGCUCAAUCUAAUUACAUGAGGUCUUAGAAGCAGAGAGCACCUUUCCCAACUGGGUCUGAGAAAAGUCAAAGAAAUGAAAAAUGAGAAGGAUUCAACCAGCCAUCAUUGGCUUUGAAGAUGGAGGCAGGAGGUUACUAGCCAAGGACUAUAAUGGCUACUCCAGGCUGGGAACAACCUUCAGUUUACAGCCAGCAAUAAAAGAGGCACCUCAGUCCCACAACCACAAGGAAGUGAUUUCUACCAACAACACAUAUAAGCAAGGAAACAGAUUCCCCCCUCCAGCCUCCAGUAAGGAAGUUCUGCCAACACCUUGACUUCAACCCAGUAAGACCCAUGCCAGAUGUCUGGCCUACAUAACUAUAAAAUAAUAAAUUUUUUGUUGGCAUAAGUCACUAUAUUUGUGGUAGUUUGACACAGCAGCAAUAGAAAACUAAUACCUAUUUCGCUUCCUAGAAGUGAUGUGCUGCUGUAACAAACAUCUAAAAAUGUGGAAUUGGCUUUGGAAUUGGGCAAUGGGGAGAAACUAAAAGAAUUCUGAGAACCGUGACAGAAGAAGCUGAGAUCGCCUUGAACAGAUUGUUAAUAUAUAUAUGAACAUUAAAGAUGCUGCUGGUGAGGGCUCAGAAGGAAGUAAGAUUAUAGAAAAGCCUAAACUGCCCUAGGGAAUACCUAAAUCAACAUGAACAGACUGCUAGCAGAAGUACAAGAAACAUGGACACUAAGGAUGCUUCCAGUGAGUACUCAAAAGGAAGUGGGAAACCUGUUACUUAAAACUGGGGAGAAGAUGAUCCUUGUUAUGCAGUGAUAGAAAGCUUAGCAGAGUGUGUUCUGCAGUUAUGUGCAAAGAAAAAUAUGUAAGCAAUGUAAACCAGCCCAUUUUCCAGCAAGCCAGAUGCCCACAGAAUGGAAGCUAGAAUAAACCUUCAUUUGUAUGGUA